rnacentral:rRNA from 1 species
UACAGAGGGUGCGAGCGUUAAUCGGAAUUACUGGGCGUAAAGCGCGCGUAGGCGGUUCGUUAAGUCAAAUGUGAAAUCCCCGAGCUCAACUUGGGAAUUGCAUUCGAUACUGGCGAGCUAGAGUAUGGGAGAGGAAGGUAGAAUUCCAGGUGUAGCGGUGAAAUGCGUAGAGAUCUGGAGGAAUACCGAUGGCGAAGGCAGCCUUCUGGCCUAAUACUGACGCUGAGGUGCGAAAGCAUGGGGAGCAAACAGG